GAUGAACGCUGGCGGCGUGCCUAAUACAUGCAAGUCGAGCGAAUGGAUUAAGAGCUUGCUCUUAUGAAGUUAGCGGCGGACGGGUGAGUAACACGUGGGUAACCUGCCCAUAAGACUGGGAUAACUCCGGGAAACCGGGGCUAAUACCGGAUAACAUUUUGAACCGCAUGGUUCGAAAUUGAAAGGCGGCUUCGGCUGUCACUUAUGGAUGGACCCGCGUCGCAUUAGCUAGUUGGUGAGGUAACGGCGCACCAAGGCAACGAUGCGUAGCCGACGUGAGAGGGGGAUCGGCCACACGGGGACUGAGACACGGCCCAGACUCCUACGGGAGGCAGCAGUAGGGAAUCUUCCGCAAUGGACGAAAGUCUGACGGAGCAACGCCGCGUGAGGGAUGAAGGCUUUCGGGUCGUAAAACUCUGUUGUGAGGGAAGAACAAGUGCUAGUUGAAUAAGCUGGCACCUUGACGGUACCUAACCAGAAAGCCACGGCUAACUACGUGCCAGCCGCCGCGGUAA
rnacentral:rRNA from 1 species